rnacentral:rRNA from 1 species
AUGCUCUCCAUCGCCCCCUUCUGCUUCCUGAUGGUCUUCAGGUUCUUGUCAGAGCUGAACAGCUCGAGCGUGACCUCCUGGAAGUAGACGGACCGCUCCUCCUCCGCCCUGAUGGCCGCGACGGCCGACUCCAGCACGGCCUCGUUGAGCUCCAGCACGCGCAUCAGCCCGUCCCGCGCGCUCUCCCGCUCCAGGAUCCGCCGCGUCUCCAUCGACUCCACCUCCCCGAGCACGUAG